rnacentral:rRNA from 1 species
UACGGGGGAUGCAAGCGUUAUCCGAAAUCAUUGGGCGUAAAGCGCCUGUAGGUUGUUUAAUAAGUCUGUUGUUAAAGACUAGGGCUUAACCCUAGAAAAGCAGUGGAAACUACUAGACUAGAGUAUGGCAGGGGUAGAGGGAAUUUCUAGUGUAGCGGUGAAAUGCGUAGAUAUUAGAAAGAACACCGGUGGCGAAGGCGCUCUACUGGACCAUUACUGACACUCAGAGGCGAAAGCUAGGGUAGCAAAAGGGAUUAGAUACCCCUGUAGUCCUAGCCGUAAACGAUGGAUACUAGAUGUUGUGCAUAAUGUACAGUAUCGUAGCUAACGCGUUAAGUAUCCCGCCUGGGGAGUACGCUCGCAAGGGUG